rnacentral:lncRNA from 1 species
GACAAUUUCGGGGUCGGUUGAUUCGCGGUCGGCCUGCCGCCCCUUGCAUUGCUACUCCGUCCUCGCACGGCAUGCGGUAACUCGAUAGCGCGCACAGAACCAAUAGCAAUUAAGUGGCAGAGGAGGUCAACCGAGCGUGCUUUGCGUGGCCAUAGCCUCCAAUCUGAUUUUGACGGCAGUUUUCCUGGGGAAGAAAACGUACAC